CAGCAGCCGCGGUAAUACGAAGGGACCUAGCGUAGUUCGGAAUUACUGGGCUUAAAGAGCACGUAGGUGGUUAAGAAAGUUGGUGGUGAAAUCCCGAGGCUUAACCUUGGAACUGCCACCAAAACUUUUUAACUAGAGUAUGAUUGAGGUAAGCGGAAUUUCUAGUGUAGAGGUGAAAUUCGUAGAUAUUAGAAAGAACACCAAUUGCGAAGGCAGCUUUCUGGAUCAUUACUGACACUGAGGUGCGAAAGCAUGGGUAGCGAAGAGGAUUAGAUACCCUCGUAGUCCAUGCCGUAAACGAUGUGUGCUAGACGUUGGGAAUUUAUUUUUCAGUGUCGCAGCAAAAGCGUUAAGCACACCGCCUGGGGAGUACGACCGCAAGGUUAAAACUCAAAUGAAUUGACGGGGACCCGCACAAGUAGUGGAGCAUGUGGUUUAAUUCGAAGAUACGCGCAGAACCUUACCAACACUUGACAUGUUCGUCGCGACUCUAAGAGAUUAGAGUUUUCGGUUCGGCCGGACGAAACACAGGUGCUGCAUGGCUGUCGUCAGCUCGUGUCGUGAGAUGUUGGGUUAAGUCCCGCAACGAGCGCAACCCUUACUUUUAGUUGCUACCAUUUAGUUGGGCACUCUAGAAGAACUGCCGGUGAUAAGCUGGAGGAAGGUGGGGAUGACGUCAAGUCCUCAUGGCCCUUAUGUGUUGGGCUACACACGUGCUACAAUGGUAUUUACAGUGGGAUGCAAAGAGGCAACUCCUAGCCAACCCUCAAAGAAUACCUCAGUUCGGAUUGUACUCUGCAACUCGAGUACAUGAAGCUGGAAUUACUAGUAAUCGCGGAUCAGCGCGCCGCGGUGAAUACGUUCCCGGGUCUUGUACACACCGCCCGUCACACCAUGGAAGUUGGUUACACCUUAAGGCAAAGUGUAAA
rnacentral:rRNA from 1 species